AAGGAAAGUCCAGAAUACUAAAAUUAAGAAAAUAAGAAUUAAUAUAAAUAGUAUAUAUUUUUUUAAUUAUCCAAAGGGAUAUUAUAAUUCUUUUAAUUUGGAAUAUAAUAAUAUUUAAAAAAUCAUUAAAAAUUGAGGUACUUUUAAAGAAAUCUAAUCUUUUUACUUCCCCUUCUCUUCUUUAAGAUAACUUGUUGAGGAGAAGCCUAGAAGUCUAAUUUUAAAGUUAUUAUAAAUUAAUUUAAAUAUAAAUAAAUUAAUAUACUUCUUAUAUAUUAUUAAAUAAAAUUUAUAUUAAUUAAUUAAUUUUUCAACCUUUGUAAAAAAUUAAAUUUUUAUUAAGGGCUUCAUAAAAAUUAUGUUAUAAGAUAAUAUAUAGAAAAAAAAAAUAAACCUUAAAAAUUAUAAGAAUGUUAAUAUAAGACCUAUUAUAGUUUAGCUCUUUAAGAGUAAGAUGAAUUUUCAUGUAAACAGAUAUAAUUUAAUAAAAAUAUAAAUUAAAUAUCAACUUUUAAAAAACUAUCUAUAUAAGAAAAAUAUUCUAUAUAAUUAACUAUACUGAAUCUGGCUUAU
rnacentral:RNase_P_RNA from 1 species